GGAAACGGGGUCUAAUACCGGAUAACACCCUCGGGGGCAUCCCUGAGGGUUGAAAGCUCCGGCGGUGCAGGAUGAGCCCGCGGCCUAUCAGCUUGUUGGUGGGGUGAUGGCCUACCAAGGCGACGACGGGUAGCCGGCCUGAGAGGGCGACCGGCCACACUGGGACUGAGACACGGCCCAGACUCCUACGGGAGGCAGCAGUGGGGAAUAUUGCACAAUGGGCGAAAGCCUGAUGCAGCGACGCCGCGUGAGGGAUGACGGCCUUCGGGUUGUAAACCUCUUUCAGCAGGGAAGAAGCGAAAGUGACGGUACCUGCAGAAGAAGCGCCGGCUAACUACGUGCCAGCAGCCGCGGUAAUACGUAGGGCGCAAGCGUUGUCCGGAAUUAUUGGGCGUAAAGAGCUCGUAGGCGGCUUGUCACGUCGGUUGUGAAAGCCCGGGGCUUAACCCCGGGUCUGCAGUCGAUACGGGCAGGCUAGAGUGUGGUAGGGGAGAUCGGAAUUCCUGGUGUAGCGGUGAAAUGCGCAGAUAUCAGGAGGAACACCGGUGGCGAAGGCGGAUCUCUGGGCCAUUACUGACGCUGAGGAGCGAAAGCGUGGGGAGCGAACAGGAUUAGAUACCCUGGUAGUCCACGCCGUAAACGUUGGGAACUAGGUGUUGGCGACAUUCCACGUCGUCGGUGCCGCAGCUAACGCAUUAAGUUCCCCGCCUGGGGGAGUACGGCCGCAAGGCUAAAACUCAAAGGAAAUUGACGGGGGCCCGCACAAGCAGCGGGAGCAUGUGGGCUUAAUUCGACGCAACGCGAAGAACCUUACCAAGGCUUGACAUACACCGGAAA
rnacentral:rRNA from 1 species